GAUUUGGCCUGUGCAAAAUCUACAUCGUUUCCCAGUAAACUUAUUACCCAAGGUAUUGUUGACUUCAUCCAGUUCAGCAGCAUUGCCAUGUGUAUAGUUAGUAUAAUAGAACUGGCUGUCACUGUCCCCUCUGUGCCCAUGGUGUUUGAUUAGUAGGCAGAAAGCCUCUUUAAGCCCAUACAUUUAUACUGUGCAAUAUUUUUUAGAUGACCAGGGGAAUGAUGCCUGUGUGACUUCUGGUUCACCUCCUGUCCCUGACUCAGUUACUAAAGGUUUACGUGUUUCAUCAAGGCGGUGUGUGAAGAGACCAUGGUCUGAGGAGGAGAUAGGAGCGGUGAUGAAACAUAUGAAGCCUUUAUUGAAAACGGUAUCACUGUCACCAACCAGCAGUGUCUGAAGUGCAAAGAAAAGGAACAACCUAUCUUGGAGACGAGAUCUAUUCAAAACAUUCGAGAUUUUGUGCGCAACAGAGGACUGGCCUUUAAAAAAUAUAAAUAAAUGUUAAACACUAAAUGCACUUUUUGACAGUCUGAGCCUUUACCUUUCUGGGCCUGAUUUCAAGGUUAGUGUUCUCCAUUCAAAAAGUAUGUAGUUGACUUCACUGUGCUCACAGGCAGUGUUUUGUUUUGAUGUGUGGUUAGCCUGAGUCUUUUAAUGCCAGGAUUCACUUUUAUUUUCCUUCAAUAAUUGUUACA
ensembl:lncRNA